AAGCCACAGGGAGUGGUGCACACCUUUUAAUACCAGUACUUUAGAGGCAGAGGCAGAUGAAUCUCUGUGAGUUUAAGUCCAGCCUAGUCUACCUAGAGUUCCAGACCAGCCAGAACUACACAGUGAGACCCUUCCUUUAAAACAAAUAUAUAAACAUCUUAAAAAUUGAAAAAUAAUUUCAAAUAAAGUCCAGUACUCACAGGCUCUCAGAACAAAAGAAAAGAUAGAGUUGGAUAUUAUUUAGGCUGGCAGUUCACAACCCUAGGUAAGAAAUUAUCACCAGCUAGUCAAUAAUUGAGACAUAAAUGUGAGCUCCGUGCUCUGAUUCUUAGCAAGUGCUUUUUCUGUAUAUCAGAUUUCACGGGAAUGUUGAGAUUCCAGUCAGUGAAAUACAAGGACAGUAUCACUUUGCCCAUCAUUCAUUACUUGAUCUGUGCAAGGACAAUUCAUUUAGAAUAUGCACUCUAACAAGAACAGUAGCACCCCAGCAGAGUACAAGUAAGUUAUUAGAAGUACAAAAAGUUCCCAAAAUAUAUGUCUUUCUUAAUAAUUACUUUCAUUAAAAAAUAAGUAACUCUUUCUUUGGGAUGAUAAUUAUGAUAAAAGGUUGAAAAACUGCCUUAGAAAUAAUAGCUAAUGCUUGGCAGAGUGAAAGAGAUCUUAGCCACAAGGAUCUAAAAAGCUGUCAGCUAUACUUUAUUAACAUGGCCAAUCACAGUUCACUGAGCUUCUGUGCCUCAACUACUUCAUCAGCGGAAUGGAGGAGUUUGGUAACUGCUGAUCAGUGACCACUGCUUCCCUCAGUUUCAAGGAUCAUGAUUCAUAGAGUCCUGGUUCCCAUCUGUGGGGGAUCUAAAGGACUGAGGAGGCUGUUUUACCACUAGAGCAGUUUUUAUUGCUACCCACUUAAGUGUAAUUAAUAGGAACACUAAAUAUUACCAUGGUUCAAACCAUUACUUCAUAUGGUAAUGCUUCUCAUUCAUAUUUAUUCCAUCUGGUGGGAUAUUACCUGCUUCAGCCAAUGACAAGCUGUUUAUAAGGGUAAUUCAUAGUCAGUGUAGGGAUUGACUUCCAAUAAGAAUAUAUAUACUUACAGGGUAGGGAAAUGAAAUCAGAAUCUCUUGGGAAAUUCAUCGGACUAUAAUUAAGAAAGUCCUCUUAGGCAGCAUUUAUAUCCCCAAUUACUCCCUAUUAUGUAUACUAAUUAAUAUUCUAAAUGUGUACUUGAACCUCUUAACCCAAAGAUAAAUGUUAUUUAACAUUACAGUGACAAUAGACUCUGAUGUAAGACCUUUUCCUCAGGUGUGGCAGAGGCAGAAGGGUUACUCCAAGUUCUAGGCUCAGUGGGUUACAUAGUGAGCUCCAGGCCAGGCAUGCCUGACAUCUCACAAGCAAUAGUGACAACAAAGACAUCUUUUCCUUUUUAGACUAGUCAUCUCUGAACUCUCACCAAAACUUGUCGUUCGUCUAAGCCAGUUCUCUUGAAGCAUAGCUCCAAAUCAAAUUAGCCAUAACAGUGUAUCUACUAACAAGCCCAUUGAUACUCUUAGGUAAAACCUCAUAUAUAAUAACUUUCAAAAUAUAGUGAGUAUGCUUGUAUGUGUCUGUACAUACACAGACUACACAUAUCUAGGUUUUGUACUCCUGACCCAAGGGGUAAGUGACUCACUUUCUGUUACUGUAGAUUAGUUUUAUUUUUUCAAGUAUUUUAUAUAAAUGGAAUUACACAGUAUGUGCUUUCUUACAUCUGGUCCUGAAGAGUGUGUGCUCUAGGAGACAGAUGGGGAGGAAUUAGAGAACGUAGAGGGGAGUGCUAUUCCACAUGUGUGUGUCAUGCUGCAGUCACUUGGCCCGUCUGGUAAAGUAAUGAAUACUUCAUGUAUUGAUCUCUCCCCCCACCCUCCUUACACACACACACACAUGAUUUUUAUUGAAACAUGGUCAUAGUAGAAAUAUGUAGCAUGUAUCUACUUUAUAUGAAAGUAUAAGAGCCUGCCUGAUGAGCCAGCCGCCACUCUAGCCAAGCCACAGCACGUUUCUAUUUCCCGACCAGCACCCCAUGUAGCUCCACCUCUGAUGUCUGUCACCACAGCUGAAUUUUACUUGUUCUCAAACAUAUGUAUAUAUGCAUCCUGAUUUUUAAAUGCUUAUAUUCAUCACUGCAACUGAAAAACUUAAAAAUAAUAACCUUUCAUAAUAAAAAUAGUUUGGUCAUUUAUUAAGCACACCCUUAGCAUACAUAAAAACCAGCAAUCCCACUUCUAUGUUUGCCUAAG
rnacentral:lncRNA from 1 species